AUGACAUCUGUAACUUCCGACGUCUCGGACACCAGCUCCAAUGUGGAGAGCACAAACCUGGACCAGAGGUCCUUGUCAUCAUUGUCAUUGUGCUCUUUUCGUAGCCAAAGCUUGGAAGCUUGUAGGGAAUGGUUUUCUGAUGAAGAGGGCUCCCUUUGCUCCUCCUCUAUGAGUGACAUUAUGUCCAGAGUGCAGGUGUAUCUAGAGACCAUGGAUGAUUCUCCAAACUUCCAAAAAUUCCCUUGUGAUAGGAUAGUCUGUGAGGAUCAAAAAUAUCUGGGCUUGGAAAAGACAAAUCAACAAAAAAUGCAGAUGCCUCAAUCACUCUCUGACCCCCUUGAAGCUUCUUUUGACAUCCUGCUUCCUCCACCACAACCAGGGCCUGAUGCCUCAGGAGCCCCUUCUGGCAUCUCGCCACCUCCGCUGCUACCAGGGGCUGAUGCCUCAGGAGCCACUUCUGGCAUCUUGCCACCUCCGCUGCUACCAGGGGCUGAUGCCUCAGGAGCCACUUCUGGCAUCCACCACCUCCACCACUACCAGGGCCUGAUGCCUCAGGAGCCCCUUCUGGCACCCUGCCUCCACCACAACCAGGGCCUGAUGCCUCAGGAGCCCCUUCUGGCAUCUCGCCACCUCCACCACUACCAGGGCCUGAUGCCUCAGAAGCCCCUUCUGGCAUUCCACUUCCACCACUACCAGCGGCUGAUGCCUUGGAAGCCCCUCCUGGCAUUCCACUUCCACCACAACCAGGGGCUGAUGCCUCAGAAGCCCCUUCUGGCAUUCCACUUCCACCACUACCAGCGGCUGAUGCCUCAGAAGCCCCUUCUGGCAUUCCACUUCCACCACUACCAGCGGCUGAUGCCUUGGAAGCCCCUCCUGGCAUUCCACUUCCACCACUACCAGCGGCUGAUGCCUUGGAAGCUCCUUCUAGCAUUCCACUUCCACCACAUCCAGGGGCUGAUGCCUCAGAAGCCACUUCUGGCAUCCUGCCUCCGUCACAACCAGGGGCUGAUGCCUUCCGAGGCUCCUCCUGGCACAGUCUACCAAAAUCAAGCAAAACAUAAAUGA
rnacentral:lncRNA from 1 species